rnacentral:rRNA from 1 species
GUGAGGAAUAUUGCGCAAUGAAGGCAACUCUGACGCAGCCAUGCCGCGUGCAGGAAGAAGGCGCUACGCGUUGUAAACUGCUUUUAACCGGGAAGAAACCCCAGGACGUGUCCUGGGUUGACGGUACCGGAGGAAUAAGCACCGGCUAACUUCGUGCCAGCAGCCGCGGUAAUACGAAGGGUGCAAGCGUUAUCCGGAUUCAUUGGGUUUAAAGGGUGCGUAGGCGGAGCGUUAAGUCAGUGGUGAAAUCCUGCAGCUUAACUGUAGACUUGCCAUUGAUACUGGCGCUCUUGAGUGCGCUUGAAGUGGGCGGAAUGUGCCGUGUAGCGGUGAAAUGCUUAGAUAUGGCACAGAACACCAAUUGCGAAGGCAGCUCACUAAGGCGAUACUGACGCUGAGGCACGAAAGCGUGGGGAUCGAACAGGAUUAGAAACCCCAGUAGUCC